UGACAGUAUUUCUUAAUCUUAAUGUUAGUUAAAAAAUAUAAUUGUUAAUUGUUAGUUCACAUUCAGGUCCAUAAAUAAUAUUAACAGAUACAACAUUCGAUUUUAAUAAAGUAGUAGGAAAUGUUGAAAUUAACAUUAACUAAGAUUAAUAAAUGCUUUAGAAGUAUUUUCGUUGUUAUUUCAUGUUAGCUAAUGUUAUUACCUAAUGUUAACAAAUGGAAUCUUAAUGAAAAAUUUCAUUAUCAUACACAAAAAGACAUAUUUGUUAAUUGACAUUUUUAAUAAUACUGUUUAAAAUAAUACUUGCUACAAAUUAUGUUGAUUGAUUACAUUUUAUAUUAUACAAUGAUUUCAUAUUAUUUCAUUAUAUGUAUUAAUUAAAAUGAAUUAAUAAAUAAUUAAAUUAUUUUAAUUAAAUGUUUAUUUUAUGGGCCCUGCCAGAAGAAUUCUCUAAUAGACGAGGCUUUUUAUUGCAUGAAAUACCUUUAUUGUGUUUGUUGAUCUGCUAUGAUUUAUAAUUCUGAAAUCCAUCUUCCUGUCAAACCAAUUCAGCUUUCUGUGGUGUGUGUUUGUGUGUGUGUGCAGUUCCUCUGAAUUAUGCCCAGCUUUUUCAAUAUGAAAUAUUUGGCAUCUUGUUAGAACAAUUUUGCCUCAGCCAUAGUAAAAUGAGAUAAUUUGUCAAAAAAAAAAAAAACCUUCUAGUUUUUUUCUUUUUCAGUAUGUCGUACAGCCAUGCCUGCUGAUAUUGUGUUCCUGGUGGAUGAUUCCUGGUCAGUGGGUCUAACCAGCUUCCAGCAGAUCAAAGAGUUCAUAGCGGACAUCAUCCGAGGCUUUCAGGGAAGUGUGGUUGGACAGGAAGGCAUUCGCUUUGGAGUUACUGUCUAUUCUGACUUGCCCAGAUUGCUGUUCUGAUCACUAAUGGCCAAUCAGAUGAUCCAGUGGACAGUCCAGCUAAAGCUGUAACAGACAGUGGAAUUUCCCUGUUUGCUGUGGGUGAGUUGAAAACUUGGUGUUCUUCAUGUCAGAAGUGUUUGUGUUGUAGUCUAAACGGGCAUGACACGUCUGUGUGCACUUCUUCAUGUUUUGACGUGUGGUUCAGAGUAACUAUAGUGAAUAGUACAACGCAGCAAGACAUAGAAUGUGUAUCAGAGCCGAUCCUCCCUAUACACAAAAUACGCAAGCUGCAUAUGGCCCCUGAAACACCAGGGGGCCCCCUUGCUUUAAAAGAUUAUUUAAUUUUAGUUUUGUUUUUGAAUUUGGCCAGCAGUUAUGAAAACGAUCAUUUGAAAAAUUAUAAUUUCUUUUAAUGCGGUGUGCUGUCGCCCUUUCUACGUAAAAAUCAGUUAAAUCAUGUAAUGUGAAUGUCAUAGAGUCUUGCUCGGGACUAAAAAAACGAGUUGAAAGAGUUCCGAGCCACAGAAGAGACACUGCUUCUUAAGCGCUUUCCGCGAGCGCGAUUCGAGACGGAGUGAAACAUGGACAAAUGCGUUUCAUUCAUUCGUUCAUAACCACUCAUAACCCACUCCAUGUUUGCGUAGGGCCCCCUGAAGUAUAGGAUGGGCUCUGAUGUGUAUGUUUAUGUGUGUGUCAGCCUUGUUUCCUUUCUCGCGCUCUUUCUGUUUUGACGCCCAGAGUGCUGAAAUAAUUAUGGUUCAUUACCCGGUGGCUGACUAAUUGCUGUAAUUUUUCAUCAAACUCAUUCCUCCUGGCCCCCUUUAUCACACACACACACACACACACACACACACACACACACACACACACACACACACACACACACACACACACACACACACACAAACACACACUCACUGACACUGUUUCCUGCCUUUCUAAUCAGAUUUCCCAGAGGGACGUGAAUAUAUCUGGCCGUUUGACACAUCUGUGAGACACAUGUACAGCAGGGCGACAUGCCGUGGCAUUUUCCCAAUAUCACUUUACAGCCAAUACACUGUCUGAUAACACUGCAGCAGGUCUGAGACACGUAAGGGUCAUUUCUAUACACACACACCUGUUAAGCAUCAGCUGCACCUAACAGGCCUCCAUUCUAUGACAGUGUUAAAUGGUCAAGUUGGAAAUGUGAAAUAGUGAUUAGUGAAUAGUCAUAGUGCUCAUAUGGGUGAUGAGGGUUCGAGUUUGACCUGCAGCCUGCCCCGAAUCCAUAAUGUGUAAGAAAUGAUGAAGCGGAUCUGUAUAGAAGCUGAUCUGUGCCAUUUCGACUAGCUGAUAUGUUGUAUGUUCUUAAGGGGUAAGGAAUGCUGACCAGUCCGAGAUGAGGAAAAUCGUCACAGAGCCCCAUGAGGAACAUUUACAGCUCACCCAGAUUUCUCCUUUCUGGAGAACCUUCUGCCCAAACUCUCUCGUUGCAUCUGCUUCACUGCUUCAGAACCUCCCCAACCUGUUAAACAAAAGCCACCUGGUAAAAACACCAUGAGUUUUUCUACCUUUUUGUUAUUGCUGUUGUUUGUAACUAUAGUUUUGCUGCAUAUUGAGCCUAUCUGAACAGAGUUAACCCUUCACUAAAUUCUGCCAUCCUUUGUUGCUUUUGUUCCCUUAGACGAGCUUUACAGAAUACACCAUAAUCAUUAAUGGGAAAUUAAUGUAAACAGUAUCAUUUCCAGUAAAAUGUGCACACAAAUUAUGUG
ensembl:lncRNA